CCCCUCGGGCAGCCCCUUUCUGCCCCCACCACGCCAGUCACCAGCAGUCAGCCUUCUGGGAUUUUCCUCCCAUCUAUUUUGGAAGCAGCAUCCAAAAUACAGGUUGAGUCAAGUACAACGGUGCACAAGUUUGUGGUGAGAAGCUCUUCUACUCUUUACCAACAUUUUGUUAUCAACAAGUACACAGUAGACAGUUCUUAAAUUUUUGCCUGCCAGCAAAUUUUGAGGAAUUAUUCCUUCCUUGUUGCAUCUGAGUCUCAUGAUGCAAUUAAGCAAAACCACACACGGGAACAAAAAUUGACCCAGAUGGGGCUAAUCUUAGUUCCUCCCCCUGGCAACAGUGACUAGGAAGAGACACAUGACCUGAGGUGGCCCAAUGGACAUAGACAUGUUGACAUGUAGACAUAAAGCGAGAGAAGUGCCUUUUCCCACUGGGGUUGCUAACCAGGAAGGAUGUUUCUGUGGGACUUUAAUUAACUAUUUUCCUCGCCACAUUGCAAGCUGCCUGCCGGAAGAGGACAACCCACAGAGGGAAAAUGCAGCCGAAGCUGACAAGCCAUCGUGAAACCAAGAACUCGGCUGAGUAUACAGAGAUACUGAAAGCAAUGGAGCAACCCAAAAUGUUGAGAAGACGAACCAAGAUGGCGGCUCAGCCCUGCAGGGGAGAACGAGGGUGAAGAAAUGGCCCCGACAGGGAUGCAGGCUUGUCACCUAUGAAGAGUGAUUCCCCAGAAGUGCCUGGAGGUGGGCAGUGGGCUUUUCAGAGGUCGUUUUCCUGUUCUGAGAUUCACCAGGCCUUGUAAGUGGUGGAUCCUGAGGCCCUAGAAACUCAUCCGCCCUCUCUCUUCAGGGCCUUGCUUGGCUCGGGCUGCCCUUCCCACUGCUGCCAUGCUGAGCUCAGCUAGCAUUCUUGGCUGGUGGAGCAUCACCUCAAACUCAAAAGCUGAAUUAAUGAACAUCCUCCUUUCUUCCUGUUCUCAUCUUCCAACUCUGGUCUAUGUCUUGGUGUUGUUUCUGGUAAUAGCACCUCUGUUUUCUCAAUCACUCAGACUUGAAGCCACUAAGUUUACAUUUUACUUUUUCUUCAUUAACCUUAGCCCUAAACCUAAACCCACUGCGUAGUGAAGAAUUAACCUUGCCCAAGGGCUUCAAGAUGGCUGAGUAGGGGCAUCCAGCACUCACCUCCUCCACAAAGAAGAGCCAAAAUAGCAAGUACACAGUCGCUCUGCAAAUAGAACAGCUGAGAGAGAACACUGGAAUUCAAUAGAGAAGUGACAGGAAAUACCCGAGGCACAAAAGGAGAGGGAAGCUAGGCAGCCAGCUUGGCUGGGAUCUGCUGGGAGCCCAGAGAGGCUCCCCAGGGAAGGGAAAGAGUAAAUAGGAGAUCCCUAGUGGUCCACAUUCCCACUGGGCACUCCAGCAAUCCUAGCUGUGGGAGAGGCCUCGCAGGCCUCAAGAAUAGCAAAGGGAGCUGUCUAGAGACCAUGUAACAGCAUUGCUCCAGAGAGAGAGAACACAUGGGGUGCCACACACACUCUGAGUCUUAAGCAGCUGCAGCACAGAGUCCAGCUCCCACCCGACUGCAUCCUGCUCUGCGGCUCAACAGCCCUUGCAUCUCCACAUCCCUAGGGCCCCACUGACAUCCCCCUGGGUCCACCCAAGGGCUGCAGUGGCUUUCCGCAGGUUGGACCCAGUGGAGCAGCAGGGUUCCCAGCACUCUAGCACACACUGGGGAAGAGGUGAUGCAGUGCACUAGGACAAAGGGAGCCAAAGCACUCGCUAAUCUGGAACCUGCCUGCUCAGAGCCACUGCCCCUGACAGCAACCCCACCCCCACCAGCAACAGACUGCAGUGCACUUGCAUAUACCAUGAAAAAAGGCUCUCCCUACCUGCAGCUACCACUGCUGCUGCCACUGGGGGCCAAAGUGUGCACCCCUGGCAGUGAUGCCCUCUAGCAGUAGGGCCACCACACCCUUGCACAAACCUCAAGGACUGGCUCUCAUCACUGCUACUGCUGCUGCCAGGAGCCAAACCAUGGUCUCUCCUGAGCCUGAGAUCCAUCUGCCUACAGU